AAUGAACGUUGGCGGCGUGGAUUAGGCAUGCAAGUCGAGCGAGAAGUCAUCCUGCUUGCAGGAUGAUGGAAAGCGGCGAAAGGGAGAGUAACGCGUGGAUACCUACCCAGGGGUCCGGGAUAGCUGAGCGAAAGCGCAGGUAAUACCGGAUAACGUCUGAGGACCAAAGGUGUGAUUCCACCCUUGGAGGGGUCCGCGUCCUAUUAGCUUGUUGGUGAGGUAACGGCUCACCAAGGCUUUGAUGGGUACCGGGUGUGAGAGCAUGACCCGGCUCACUGGGACUGAGACACUGCCCAGACACCUACGGUGGCUGCAGUCGAGAAUCUUCGGCAAUGGGCGAAAGCCUGACCGAGCGACGCCGCGUGCGGGAUGAAGGCCUUCGGGUUGUAACCGCUGUCAGAGGGUGAAUCCAUAGGGCUAUCCCUAUGGGUUGACAUAUCCUCAGAGGAAGGACGGGCUAAG
rnacentral:rRNA from 1 species